AAAUAGUAAUGGAAAAAUAGUGUUUAAAAUAUGAUUUUAUGUUUUUAAUGAGAUUAAAGAGAGAGAAACUUGAGUAGUCAAGUAUUGGACCCAAAUGUCAUAUAAUUUUAAUUGGGGAUUUUUAUAAAAUUAAGAAAGUUUUGCUAAAGGACUUAUUUGAAAAGAAUUUUAGUAUUUUGGGUCCAAGUGUAAUUUAAAAAAAAAAAUUAAAAAAAAAAAGAAAAGAAAAGAAAAGGCUUCAGCCUUUCUUUUUUUACCCGUGUCUCUCUCUCUCUCCUCAGAAAAUCUCUCUCUCUCUCUCUCUCUCUCUCUCUCUCUCUCUCUCUCUCUCUCUCCUCUGCGUAUUACUGUUGUCGACGACGCAGGAGUACUUUCCGGCCACCAUUUUUAGCCACGCGCCGGACCGUUGGAUUCAGAAGCCUCCGAACUAUCGACCCACGCGGGAAUCUAGAGCUCACUCGCCGAUUAAACGCCUCAACCACUCGAUUUAAGUUCGGCCACCCCGCGACUUCAAAGUUGCGAUUCGGCCACCUCGGGCAUCCGUUUGCCGAUCCGUCACCACCAUCGUGUUCCUCGUGUUGUGGGCUUCAAAACCCAAUAACUUGUUCCUACAUCUACCAUAGUUGGGUGGUGGGCCCACCACGAGCCACCGCGAUCCACCGUAGACCGACGGUCGAAACUUAGUGUUCGGUGUUUUGAAGUACGUUUUGAGUCUCAGAAAAUCAUCGUUUGACUUGUUGUGGAACCCGAUCAUUUUGGAUUUGUAUGGAUUUGAUUGAUUGACUCUUGGUGAGGAAUUUUAAAAUAAGCUAAGGACCUAAGGUGUGGCUUUAGCUGUUGAGCAACUUGUGGAGCACGGACUCAGUAGCAAUGCAAUAAUGGUUUAGAGUUUUCAUAUGACUGCCUUAAAUUUAAAGUAUUCAUACGUGUAAUAAUUUCUUCUAAUAAGUUUAUAUAAAAGUUUUAAAUUUUUCUGUAUUUCUUCGUAUCAUUUUAUUUAAUUCUUUUGGUCAAGUGCCUUACAUACUCGUAAACCCUAGAAUUACGAGUAUGUGGCAGACGUACCCUACCUUAGGGACGUUACAUCUGGUCAUUUGUACUCACACAAUUUUGUAUUGGAAAGGCUCUGCAAAAUUACUUUCACUUGAAUCUUUCGCACAGAGUACAUAAUAAAAGUGAC